GUGGCUGUUUGGGCUGCACAACGAGUCGAUAAGCCGUCGACCGGUGUUGUGCCUGCGGACAUGAAGUGCCUCCUUCCUACUAGGUAUCAUGGUAGUGUCGCCGGCAAUAGUUACGUGGCAAUUUUUUUCCUGACCCGUGAUUUUAUUUCAGCUUCAAUCUCCUCUUGGCCAGUGCCCCUGGGCCUCUUUCAUCACCUGAACAUGGCUCCUGAUACGCUGCUCCAACUCCCCGUCUCUGGCCACCCUAAGAUCACAAUGGUCAAGGGUCAAAUGAACUACCAAUCCACAAACUAAAGAUUACCUUAGUUAUGUACCACUAUAUGUGGUUAUCAUUAUCGUCUUAGCAUGUAAAAUACUGGGGUGUAAAAUACUGGGGUUUAAUUCAUUAAAACAAUCAGCUGAACAAAAGUAUUUCACAGAGGGGACAAAUAUAUGCUAUGAACAAAAGAGAUGGCUGUACAGGCACCCUCUUUCCACUAGAUGUCUCUGAACAUCUUUGAAUUAUCUGCCAUUGGUUCUGUUGGUGGCUACUGUUAGUAGCUGCCCACUGGGCACAGAAGUCAAUGGAAUGUCUAUUCCACGUUGGUUCAACGUAAUUCUGUUGAAACGCUGUGGAAACAAUGUUGAAUCAACCAGUGUGUGCCCAGUGGGUUAUUGCAACAGUGUAACUAUCGAUAGACAUUGAGUAGACCUGUUAGCUACAACAUACCAGGCUUCCACGUGUUGUUUCUGGUACAGGAACAAUCUCUAUCUCUGGAUCCUCUUUGGUAGGGGUUUGAGGGUUUUGACCCCACCACUUUCGGCAACACUACAUAGAGACAUCUGUACAUGAAAAUACAUUAAUUUCUAUAGAAAGCUGGUAUUUUCAAUAUAUAACCGAAACUGUGAGCUUAUAGUAAGUUAAGGAUAGAUGACAGGACAUGCAGUGACACAGAUGGACUACUACUAUCCUGGCACAUUGCUGAAGAGGUUAGAUAUUAGAUAUACAGCUAUGGUUAAAUCAUUCGGUGAACUAAGUUCAGACUUCCAUUUGCCCAAGUCAGAUUUAUUUAGCUAUUUACAGCUAAGAGACAAUUUACUGAAACACCCAAACUGGGUCAAAAUGAAGAGUGAGCCCUCUCCCAUAGAAACACACCUAAUCAAUACUCAGAAAAGUGCAACUAAUAGUAAAACAAAUAACAAAUCUAUUCCAAUCUAUUGCUGUCAUGACACAGAACAAUACUCUGCAAACUAGGUGCAAGUGGGAAUCUGAACUUGGGGAGAACAUUGAAAAUGAAACUUGGGAGGCAGUCUGUAGGAAUGCUCAUACCAUUACACACUCAACCAUAUGGAGAGAAUAUCUAUGGACAAUUAUUAGUAGGUACUUUCUAACUCCAGACAAAAUGGUAAACAUAAGACCAGAAACAACCAGUGAAUGCCGGAGAAUAUGUGAGGAAUUGUUCGCAAACUACCUACAUAUUUUUUGGUCUUGUACUAGAAUAAUAACACUCUGGAAUUAUGUUUUGGACUUUGUAAACAAUGUAUUUAAUUGCUGUUUCCAAUACCUCUAUAAUGAAUUGCUGUGCUUUAAACCUAUGCUUGAAAAAUAAUACAAUUCUAUGUAUAAAAAUAUGUAUAUACAGCAAUGGGUUGCUUUGAGUGACAGGGCAUCACUAUACCCUGGUUCUGUUGAGUGACAGGGCAUCACUAUACCCUGGUUCUGGUACGUUGUGAUUUGUACUGAAGUGGGGGGAGUGGAACCUAAUGUUCAUCAUGAUGUUACACUUGCUAAUGUACUAGUCUACUGCUGUGUUUGUAUGUUUCUGACUGUGUGUGUGCUAGCGUUUUGUGGAAUGGUGUGUUUACCUGCUGUGGGGGGGGGGGGGCCUCCCUGGCGACAUCUGACUGCAGGAUGACUGACUGCAUACUGGAGGCACAGUGCUCCAUCACUAGCUAGGCCUGUCGCUAUCUCCAACCUGGACAGCUUCAGCUUAGUGUCUGCACAGCCAUCUUUUCCAACGUCUGCUCACCCAGAAUGGAAACAAGGACUCAAGUCAGUCUCUUUCUGUCCACUUCUCUCAGACAGUUUCCUUAGAACAGAACUGAAAGCAUUCUUCUAAUUCUCUUUCCAAUGACUGUGAAACCCUUUCCUCAGGCUGGUGUUAUGUUGCCCUCUUCUGGUUGAGAAGUGCACUUCAGCCAGUCUUCUCUCCUCUGACCUCUUCCAGUACUGCAGGUCCAACGGAAGGAGCUCUGGAAAUAUAUUUCCACUGGUAAUCUCUUUCUUUCUGACAAAUAAAUGAAUCGAAAGAAAAUGUUUUAUUUUUAUUGCUCUCAGAAGGACCGUGUCCCUGCAGAGCCUGGGCAAAUUUAUCGCUAGGCCUUCACCUCAAAGACUGUCAAAAAAAUACUUACACUGUCCAUGCUGUAUUUUCCAUUUCUAUAGCCUAUUAGUCUAGAAUGGCUCCCUCUCCUUGUCUCCUUUCCUUCACUGCAUUCCCCAGAGAAGGCAUCCAACAUAUUGCUUUCAUCUAUCAUUGCUUUCCUCGUAACCCAUACUGACCACUGCACUGAACAUAGUGGUCAAUCUGGUUAACCAGUUCAGGAGAGGACACUAAAUUACUGCAGUUACCAGACGCCUGUCAUUUCUCCCAUAAGAGACGAUUAACCUUUUUGACAUGACCUUUUAAUGACGGGCCCUCUGCUGCUCUAGGGAGGCGUGAAAGAGGGAGACCAUAGCCAAACUCAGCUCUGUCCAUUUGGAUCGUCUUCUGCCUCGGUUCUCUGAACCUCUGCUGCUCGUCUUCAUACACCACCUCUUCACAGAGGUCCAAACUGGACUUCACAACCUCUGUCAACUGUAGCUUCUCCACCGGUGGCAUGUCUGCAACCAAAACAUUAAGAACUUUCCAUGAAAACUAUUAUGGCAGCAAAAUAAUACAUUUCAGUCACUUCCUAUGCAAACAAUUAUGCAACAAUUGUCCUCUUUUCAUUUUGACUCUUGAC